UUUCCUCUCUCAUUCUAUUUCAUAGUUAUAUAAUCAUAUGGGUUCCAUUUCUGGAGUACAUUUUUGGACAAAUUUUUUCAACCAUACUGUAUUUUCAUACAGUGCUCUAACUGUAUAACUCUAUGGUGAGUAUUUUCAUACAGUACUAUAACUGCUACAUCUUGAAUCUCAUAAUGAGAGAUAUCUAAGUACAACACCAUGGACAUUUUAAAAUGUCCUAGCCUCAUAAACUGUUUCCUUAAAAACAACAACAAAAAAAAACUUUUCAGUAUUUUCAACUAAUAAGUAGAUGGUAACAUUUCAAUCAAAACUACAUCAUUUCUGACAAUAUUACCUAUGACAACUGCAGAAGUGUACUUCCAGAUUCUUGGAAAAGAACCCCUGAAUGGAGAGCUUCUCGGUCCUGUCGCCGCUGCCGUCAUGCCCGGGGUACUGCUUCUCGGGGACACGGCUCCCAACUUCAAAGCCGAUACCACCGUCGGCCACAUCCGCUUCCACGACUUUCUGGGAGACUAAUGGGGCAUCCUCUUCUCCCAUCCUCGGGACUUUACCCCAGUGUGCAUCACAGAACUUGGCAGAGCUGCAAAGCUGGUGCCAGAAUUUGCCAAGAGGAAUGUUAAAUUGAUUGCCCUUUCAAUAGACAGUGUUGAGGAUCAUCUUGCCUGGAAUAAGGAUAUCAAUGCUUACAAUGGUAAUGAGUCCACAGAAAAAUUACCUUUUCCCAUCAUCGAUGAUAAGGAUCGGGACCUUGCCAUCCUGCUUGGCAUGCUGGACCUAGCAAAGAAGGAUGAAAAGGGCAUGCCUGUGACAGCUCGGGUGCUGUUUAUUUUUGGUCCUGAUAAGAAACUGAAGCUGUCCAUCCUCUACCGGGUUACCACUGGCAGGAACUUUGAUGAGAUUCUCAGGGUAGUCAUUUCUCUCCAGCUGACAGCGGAAAAGAGAGUUGCCACCCCAGUUGAUUGGAAGGACAGAGAUAGUGUGAUGGUUCUUCCAACCAUCCCUGAAGAGGAAGCCAAAAAACUUUUCCCUAAAGGAGUCUUCACCAAAGAGCUCCCAUCUGGCAAGAAAUACCUCUGCUACACUCCCUAACCUUGGGUCUCUGAGAAGUGGGUUCUGUGAGCCAGAGGAUAUCCUAAUGCCAAUGUUUUCCUACAGCAAUACCAUAAAAAUAUACUGGUGUCAUCAUAGCCAAGGUCUCUAAAUUGCUCUACUAUUGGCUUAUUAAAUGAAAAUGGCACUAAAAAAAAAAAA